GCCUGGGUGGCUCAGUCGGUUAAGCGUCUGGCUUCAGCUCAGGUCAUGAUCUCGCAGUUUGUGGGUUCAAGCCCUGCUUCGGGCU
rnacentral:tRNA from 1 species